CGGCCGCGUCGACGCAAACACGAAAGUGGACGUAUAGGGUGUGAUGCCUGCCCGGUGCCGGAAGGUUAAUUGAUGGGGUUAGCGCAAGCGAAGCUCUUGAUCGAAGCCCCGGUAAACGGCGGCCGUAACGAUAACGGUCCUAAGGUAGCGAGAUUCCUUGUCGGGUAAGUUCCGACCUGCACGAAUGGCGUAACGAUGGCGGCGCUGUCUCCACCC
rnacentral:rRNA from 1 species